GUCGAACGAUGAACACCGGAGCUUGCUCUGGUGGGAUUAGUGGCGAACGGGUGAGUAACACGUGAGCAAUCUGCCCCCGACUCUGGGAUAACCCCGAGAAAUCGGAGCUAAUACCGGAUACUACACCUCCUGGCAUCAGGUGGGUGUGGAAAGAAUUUCGGUUGGGGAUGAGCUCGCGGCCUAUCAGCUUGUUGGUGAGGUAAUGGCUCACCAAGGCGACGACGGGUAGCCGGCCUGAGAGGGUGACCGGCCACACUGGGACUGAGACACGGCCCAGACUCCUACGGGAGGCAGCAGUGGGGAAUAUUGCACAAUGGGCGCAAGCCUGAUGCAGCAACGCCGCGUGGGGGACGAAGGCCUUCGGGUUGUGAACCCCUUUUGGCAGGGAAGAAGCGAAAGUGACGGUACCUGCAGAAAAAGCACCGGCUAACUACGUGCCAGCAGCCGCGGUAAUACGUAGGGUGCAAGCGUUGUCCGGAAUUAUUGGGCGUAAAGAGCUCGUAGGCGGUGUGUCACGUCUGCUGUGAAAAUCCAAGGCUCAACCUUGGACUUGCAGUGGGUACGGGCACACUCGAGUGCGGUAGGGGAGAUUGGAAUCCUGGUGUAGCGGUGGAAUGCGCAGAUAUCAGGAGGAACACCGAUGGCGAAGGCACAUCUCUGGGCCGUAACUGACGCUGAGGAGCGAAAGCGUGGGGAGCGAACAGGAUUAGAUACCCUGGUA
rnacentral:rRNA from 1 species